rnacentral:rRNA from 1 species
CCUACGGGCGGCAGCAGUGAGGAAUAUUGGUCAAUGGGCGAGAGCCUGAACCAGCCAAGUCGCGUGAAGGAUGAAGGAUCUAUGGUUUGUAAACUUCUUUUAUAUGGGAAUAAAGUGAGGAACGUGUUCCUUUUUGUAUGUACCAUAUGAAUAAGCAUCGGCUAACUCCGUGCCAGCAGCCGCGGUAAUACGGAGGAUGCGAGCGUUAUCCGGAUUUAUUGGGUUUAAAGGGUGCGCAGGCGGAGGUGCAAGUCAGCGGUCAAAUGGCGGGGCUCAACCCCGUACUGCCGUUGAAACUGCAUCGCUUGAGUGCGCGAGAAGUAUGCGGAAUGCGUGGUGUAGCGGUGAAAGGCAUAGAUAUCACGCAGAACUCCGAGUGCGAAGGCAGCUUACCGGCGCGCAACUGACGCUGAUGCACGAAAGCGUGGGUAUCGAACAGGAUUAGAUACCCUAGUAGUC